rnacentral:rRNA from 1 species
UUGACCUCAAAUCGGGUGAGACUACCCGCUGAACUUAAGCAUAUCAAUAAGCGGAGGAAAAGAAACUAACAAGGAUUCCCCUAGUAACUGYGAGUGAAGCGGGAAAAGCUCAAAUUUAAAAUCUGGCGGCCUUUGGCUGUCCGAGUUGUAAUUUAGAGAAGCGUCUUCCGCGCUGGCCCGUGCACAAGUCUCCUGGAAUGGAGCGUCAUAGAGGGUGAGAAUCCCGUCUUUGGCACGGAUGCCUGGUGCUUCUGUGAUGCGCUCUCGAAGAGUCGAGUUGUUUGGGAAUGCAGCUCAAAAUGGGUGGUGAACUCCAUCUAAAGCU